GGGSUUCCUGGCGUUGUAGACUUCGGUCUGCUACCUCUUACCCAUGUCUUUUGAGUACCUUCGUUUCCUCGGCGGGUCCGCCCGCCGAUUGGACAACAUUCAAACCCUUUGCAGUUGCAAUCAGCGUCUGAAAAAACAUAAUAGUUACAACUUUCAACAACGGAUCUCUUGGUUCUGGCAUCGAUGAAGAACGCAGCGAAAUGCGAUAAGUAGUGUGAAUUGCAGAAUUCAGUGAAUCAUCGAAUCUUUGAACGCACAUUGCGCCCCUUGGUAUUCCAUGGGGCAUGCCUGUUCGAGCGUCAUUUGUACCUUCAAGCUCUGCUUGGUGUUGGGUGUUUGUCUCGCCUCUGCGUGUAGACUCGCCUUAAAACAAUUGGCAGCCGGCGUAUUGAUUUCGGAGCGCAGUACAUCUCGCGCUUUGCACUCAUAACGACGACGUCCAAAAGUACAUUUUUACACUCUUGACCUCGGAUCAGGUAGGGAUACCCGCUGAACUUAAGCAUAUCAAUAAGCGGAGGAA
rnacentral:rRNA from 1 species